AAAUGUACUUGUUUAAAUUGAUGUCGUUUGUUUCGUAAUAUGCUUGACUGUUAUUUAAAAACUCCGCUGAAUUUGUAUAAAACCAAAAUAAACACUGAUUUUUAGUUAUCAUAAGCUUUCACUCACUUUUACUAACUACUGAUAUCAUUACUCGAGAUAACCUGGUUUUCUUUGUCGUCUUGUCGAAUUGAAAGGAAAUCUGUUCCCUGAUGCAUACUGUUUUACUGAUGUAAUAAAUGGGUUAAAGUCAUGCGUCCACGAAAAUAAUUCAGAAGCAUUGAGUUGCAGUGUCGAGUUCUUAACAUCUCUGUUCGAAAACCCAUUGCUUAUCGGCGUGACUUCCGGACGGAUA